rnacentral:rRNA from 1 species
GAUGAACGCUGGCGGCGUGCCUAAUACAUGCAAGUCGAGCGAAUGGAUUAAGAGCUUGCUCUUAUGAAGUUAGCGGCGGACGGGUGAGUAACACGUGGGUAACCUGCCCAUAAGACUAGGAUAACUCCGGGAAACCGGGGCUAAUACCGGAUAACAUUUUGAACCGCAUGGUUCGAAAUUGAAAGGCGGCUUCGGCUGUCACUUAUGGAUGGACCCGCGUCGCAUUAGCUAGUUGGUGUGGUAACGGCUCACCAAGGCAACGAUGCGUAGCCGCCCUGAGAGGGUGAUCGGCCACACUGGGACUGAGACACGGCCCAGACUCCUACGGGAGGCAGCAGUAGGGAAUCUUCCGCAAUGGACGAAAGUCUGACGGAGCAACGCCGCGUGAGUGAUGAAGGCUUUCGGGUCGUAAAACUCUGUUGUUAGGGAAGAACAAGUGCUAGUUGAAUAAGCUGACACCUUGACGGUACCUAACCAGAAAGCCACGGCUAACUACGUGCCAGCCGCCGCGGUAA